UACGUAGGCAGCGAGCGUUGUUCGGAGUUACUGGGCGUAAAGGGUGUGUAGGCGGUUGUUUAAGUUUGGUGUGAAAGCCCCCGGCUCAACUGGGGAGGGUCACGCGAUACUGUUCGACUCGAAGGCAGGAGAGGGAAGCAGAAUUCCCGGUGUAGUGGUGAAAUGCGUAGAUAUCGGGAGGAAUACCAGUGGCGAAGGCGGCUUCCUGGCCUGUUCUUGACGCUGAGGCGCGAAAGCUAGGGUAGCAAACGGG
rnacentral:rRNA from 1 species